rnacentral:rRNA from 1 species
UACGUAGGGGGCAAGCGUUAUCCGGAAUUACUGGGUGUAAAGGGUGAGUAGGCGGCAUGGUAAGCCAGAUGUGAAAGCCUUGGGCUUAACCCGAGGAUUGCAUUUGGAACUAUCAAGCUAGAGUACAGGAGAGGAAAGCGGAAUUCCUAGUGUAGCGGUGAAAUGCAUAGAUAUUAGGAGGAACACCAGUGGCGAAGGCGGCUUGCUGGACUGAAACUGACGCUGAGGCUCGAAAGCGUGGGGAGCAAACAGG